rnacentral:rRNA from 1 species
CCUACGGGUGGCAGCAGUCGAGAAUCAUGCUCAAUGGGGGAAACCCUGAAGGAGCAACGCCGCGUGGAGGAAGGAGGGUUUCGGGUUGGAAACUCCUUUUGAUGGAGAAGAUAAUGACAAUGUCUGAAGAAUAAGCACCAGCUAACUCCGUGCCAGCAGCAGCAGUAAUACGGAGGGUGCAAGCGUUACUCGGGAUCGGUGGGCGUAAGGCGCGCGUAGGCGGGAUAGUAAGUCAAAUGUGAAAGCCAAGGGCUUAACCCUCGAACUGCAUAUGAAACUGUUAUUCUAGAGUAUUGGAGGGGGAGGUGGAAUUCUCGGUGUAGGAGUAAAAUGCGUAGAGAUCGAGAGGAAUACUCGUGGCGAAGGCGAGUUCCUAGAACUUAACUGACGCUGAGGCGCGAAAGCCAGGGGAGCGAAAGGGAUUAGAUACCCGAGUAGUC